rnacentral:lncRNA from 1 species
GCCCCACCCGAUCCCCCAAAAGACUGUCCGUUUGGGUUGCCUUGGCAUUUCCAGGAUGAAGGGUUCAGUUUCAUUCUGAUGCCUGCCAAAGGUUCACGAUGUCCUUGAGCAGUCCAAUGUUGAAGCCUCUCCGGAUCAGCUGUGAUGACACUGCCGUCAGUCUGUCCACAGUCCUCAGAGAAACCAAGUGGAAGUAGCAACUGAAGAACAAUCUCUAUGAGAGUGACCUGUGGCUAUGACUGUCAGACGUUAAAAUUUACUGACUGGUAAUGGAGGACUCAACCAUCUGUGGGAUGUGCCACUCCCAGGUGUAUUUUACAUGCAUGUGUGUCUAUGUAGCACUUGCAUUCCUGAUUUGCCUGGAGACCAGAAAAGGAUAACUGAAUAUAAGCCUGAGACCUUGCCAGUAAGCAUCAUUCCUCUGUGCUCUUUGAUUUAGCUCCUACCUCUAAAUUCAUGCCUUGAAUCCCU